UAAACUUUAAAUGGUUGUACAAGGGGGCUACAAAUUAAAUUAAACAUGUCCAUUUAUGGUUCCAGUGCUUCCUGAUUAGAGUCAUCCCCCAUUCUAACUGUCCUUUCCUCCAGACUCAUUUUGCCUUUCCCACUGUCUAUACCAUAUAUCAUUGAAUAUUCUGAUUUUUCAUUCAUCUGUUCCCCUGCUGUUGGCCCUCCCCCAUUCAAGCGUGUUUCAGAUUUCUGAUACUCACUUUUUAAAACUGUUAACUGUUAAAAAGAUUUGCCACAUGGAUUUCCACUCUGACAUGCAGAGACAGUGCUUCAGUCUCAGUAGAGUUUUAUAUCUUCUUUUACAGCCAAUAUGUCUGUUUCUUCUUUUUAUUACAUCAUUAACCUGUUUAGGAAUUCAAAUACAAUGUUAAGUAAGAGUAGUGAGGGUGGUGAUCCUUGUUUUGCUUUCAGCCUUAGGGAGAAACACCACUACACUAUUAUGUCAACAAUAGGUUUGAGGUAGAAAAAUGCUCACGUUGAGGAACUUGCUUUUUUGCUAUCCACUAAGCCUGGUGUAUGGCUAACACCCUGAUUAUCUUUGAUCUCUAAUAUACUGGAAAUUCUUUUUGCCUCUCUUAGGUUACAAUCUCAAUUUCUUGUGUCAUGGUUUUUUUUUUUUUCCUUUCUUUGUUUUCUUCUUCAUCUUAAUGAAGGACAUCAUCCACUAUCUUCUUAAGAACAAAACGUUAGCAUUGAUUGUGGUUUUUAACUCUGAUUUUGAAAUUGGAAUUGUGAAUAUUCUUUUAAGUAGGUGGCCAGAGUAGAAGCAAGAAGAUUAAUUAUUAGAUCACUGCAGAAGUCAAGAUAAUAUUUAUUGGUGGGUUGGGCUAGAAUGGUAGUUGGAAAAAAGGAGAGACAUCGAAAAGGCAAGGUGCUUUUUAUGUGUAAGUUUAUGAGAUUUAGAGGUGAGCUAAUUGUGGAAGAUUAAGGAAAGAGAGAAGCCAAAGGGAAUUCUGAGUGUUCUCUUGAAAUGAGUAGGUGAACAAGUGGUUCACUAAAGAAGACUAGUGACAAGAGCCAUUUCCACAUUAAACAAAUAAAAUUUAAUAUGCCUACUGCUGAGCUAUAGGUUUGUUUUCUUAGCUACUCAUUGUCUCUUUAGACUUUGUUAUUUUUCAGUGGUCAUUCAAAACCACUUGAUGUUUUGACUUUAUCCCUCUCUACCUCUCCAACUGCUGCCACCCAUCAAGCUUAUUUGUUAAAAACUGUGUAUCCAUCCUCAUUCCCUGACAUUAUCAUGUACAACUUUGGGACCUGCAGUAUGUAGCAGUGAUAGUAUGAUACAAUGGUUUUGAAUUCUGGUUCCUCUGCUUCCUAACUAUGUAAUGUUAAGAACAGUGUUUCACCUUUUGUGUCUCAUUUUCCUCAUGUAUAGAAUGGGGAUAAUACUAUCUGUAUAUUUGCAGACUAGAUAAGAAAAUGAUGUAUUAAAGCUGUAAGACUGCUAAAAGUUAUU